GGUGAAAUGGCUGAUAAUAGGUAAUAAAUUGUAAAUUUAUUUAUGAAAUUUAAAUUUCUUUCACCA
rnacentral:tRNA from 1 species